GUCUUCAUCAAAUGAAAAAUCACCCUGAGUAUGGGGAUAGUCCUCUUGUCCAACCCCUACAGAAAGAAAUGACUUUAGUGUUCUCAGAGAGCCAUCUGCUGUUCAAAUUUCGACACGUACGAUACCAAAAAAGCUUUCAUCUUUUUAAAAAGAAUCUACAGGAAGGAUGUUCUUUUCCACUAGUUCCAUUGGACCAGGUCUUUGAGCAAUCUUCUCAUUCAGAUCAUCUGCCAGUCGAGC